CUAACAUUCAUUGCUAUCUACCUCAUUUAUCACACUAUCGGUCAGAGAUUUAUCUAACUCAUUUCAUUUCUAACUAACUGCUAUCUACCUAAUUUCUAUAUAACCAGAUUGGCAAUCAAAUAAUUCCAGUUCAGAUUCACAAUCAAUUCAGAGUUAAGGCAAUCAAAUAACUAACCUCAAAUAGCCAUUGCGUCUUCAUCCGUCCAAACCACAGACCUCUUCUUUGAAGAAACUUCAUGUCUCUUUAUCGGACCAUCUGAAAAGGAAACGCAAUAAACAGAAUCAACACUAGAACGAUUAAGACACAAGAAAGAUUAAGAAACAAAUACUGAGACAUCAUCUCUUGAAUCAGUAGACAUAAACUAUCCAACAGUCCCGAUUGAUAUAUUGAGACACAAACAAACACAAACAACGCUGAGACGCAUGAAUAGUUAUAAAGUGAUAGAUAUAAACAAAGACAGAGACAUAAACAAUCGAAUGAUUAACAAAUAAAGACAGAGACAUAACCGAGUUGAAUCAUCAGACAUAAACAAACACAAGGCAUGCAUGCAUCACAACAAAUGAAUCAAUAAAACAACGAAUGAUUCAGACGUAAAAGGGAAAAAACUUAGCUUUUGAUUUCGGUUUGAUUUCGUCGAUGAUAGCCACGGGCCGGAGAGAAAGGUGGAGUGAGCCGUCGUGGAGAGCGAGAGAUACGCGGAGUUGUCGAGGAGAUCGAGAGGGAGGCGGAAUCGUCGAAGAGAGACAAGGAGACGCGGAUUCGACCACGAGACCGAUAGAGAGAGAGAGGCAGAAUCGUCGAGGAGACCGAUGGAGACGCGGAUUCGUCGACCACAGAGAGAGAGAGGCGACGAUUCCACCGAUACAGAUUCCGGCUGAUGUCGUCGACGAGUCGGAGAUAUCAUCGUCAUCGAGAGAUCAUUGUUUCGCCUUCGGUGUCACCAAGAGAGAAAGAGAGAAGACGAGACGGUUG
rnacentral:lncRNA from 1 species